UGUGGGAGCGAGCUUGCUCGCGAUAGCGAUGUGUCAGUCAAUGAAGCCUUGGCUGACGAUCCGCUAUCGCGAGCAAGCUCGCUCCCACA
rnacentral:misc_RNA from 1 species